rnacentral:rRNA from 1 species
AUUGCCAUUGAUACUGUGAGUCUUGAGUAUGGUUGAGGUAGGGCGGAAUGUGCAGUGUAGCGGUGAAAUGCAUAGAUAUUGCACAGAACUCCGAUUGCGAAGGCAGCUUACUAAGCCAUCACUGACGCUGAGGCACGAAAGCGUGGGGAGCGAACAGGAUUAGAUACCCUGGUAGUACACGCCUGUAAACGAUGUUCACUCGCUGUUUGCGAUACACAGCAAGCGGCUGAGCGAAAGCAUUAAGUGAUCCACCUGGGGAGUACGGCCGCAAGGCUGAAACUCAAAGGAAUUGACGGGGGCCCGCACAAGCGGAGGAACAUGUGGUUUAAUUCGAUGAUACGCGAGGAACCUUACCUGGGCUUAAAUGUAGAGUGCAUUGGUGAGAAAUCAUCAUUUUCUUCGGAACUCUCUGCAAGGUGCUGCAUGGUUGUCGUCAGCUCGUGCCGUGAGGUGUCGGCUUAAGUGCCAUAACGAGCGCAACCCUUGUCAUUAGUUACCAUCAGGUCAAGCUGGGGACUCUAAUGAGACUGCCACCGUAAGGUGAGAGGAAGGGGGGGAUGACGUCAAAUCAGCACGGCCCUUAUGUCUUGGGCUACACACGUGCUACAAUGGUCGGUACAACGGGGAGCGAAGGAGUGAUCCGGAGCAAAUCCCAAUAAACCGAUCCCAGUUCGGAUUGCAGGCUGCAACUCGC